UACGGAGGGUCCAAGCGUUAUCCGGAAUCAUUGGGUUUAAAGGGUGCGCAGGCGGUAAAGUAAGUCAGUGGUGAAAUCUCUCGGCUCAACCGAGAAACUGCCAUUGAUACUGCUAUACUUGAAUAUAGUUGAAGUAGGCGGAAUGUGUAGUGUAGCGGUGAAAUGCUUAGAUAUUACACAGAACACCGAUAGCGAAGGCAGCUUACUAAACUAAUAUUGACGCUCAUGCACGAAAGCGUGGGGAGCGAAC
rnacentral:rRNA from 1 species